CCAAACUCACAUCGCAUCAUGUCAUCUAUAGCUCGAUCGAGCUUAGUGUGAGCUUAAUCGGGGGCCGGGCAGCUUCCCGGAAGUUGCUAGCUUGGCAAUGCUUAUAAACGCCGCCACCGCCCGGCCGGCCACUCUCUCACACCGUAACCGUAGCUAGCUCCAGGAGAGCAGAGUCGAGGAACGAGGUCCGUCGCCGCGCGCGUGUCUCCAAGCAGAGGCCGCCGGCCGGCUCUGCUCCAGUCGUCUGCAACUACGAUCUUGGACGGACGGCGGCAUACUAGUCCGACAUCUGUCAGCCGCCGGCACGGCGCACCGGAGGCCCUGCGCGCGCGGUUGCACACAGUUUCCUAUAUUGGACAAGUGAAGUGUGGUAGCUGCUCACUGACACAAUGGAACAAGUUGACAUUUGGGCGCCCAUCUUGGCCGAUCCUCUUCCAAGUCAACAGCCGGAGAUUAAAGUUCACUCAACAUAUGUGGAUUAUGGCACCAUUGACUUUCAAGCACUCUUAGAAGGACCCCAUGAUUUGGAUAGAUGGCUGAAAGGUGCAUUCAUUCCUACUUAUAUAAAGGAGGCAAAUUUAACUCACGAGGCAAGAUUUCCGCACAUCCAAAAGUACAAACUUGCAAAACAAUUGAACGUGGCAAAUGGCAUUGAAAAUUUGUUUCAUCAUUGCAGAUUGAACCAACUAGUGGUCAUGGCAUGAAAAUACAAACACCUAUGCCCGCUCCACCGGAGGCGUUGCUUGAGAAAGAGGAGGCCCCUGCCACCACGACUCUCAACGGCGGAGGAGGAAAAGAGGCGGAGAUGAGAGAGGGAGGGGGCAUGUACCCGCCGCCUUGUCACCGGAGAAGCAGGAGGCUUGCGGCCACCGUGACACCGCCGGAGGAGGGGACCGGCGAUCUACUAGAUUACAUACCAAAAAGUGGUUGGAGGCAUGGAAGUCGUGUGAGAAGUGCACGUGAGAGAGGAACAUGGUCGAUAAACAUAGAACCAUGCUCCCGGGACUUGCGCUCUGCAAGUGAAGGCCAAAAACAUGGGUGCAAAAGAAACAAUGACCAUUGGACAUCUGAAGAGGUGAAAGAGCUAGUGGAUGGUGUAUCUGUACAUGGGGUUGGACCAUGGACUAAGUUGAAGAAUGAAAGGUUUCCAAUAUCAGUUCGAACAGCGAUCCACCUUAA